CCUACGGGAGGCAGCAGUGAGGAAUAUUGGUCAAUGGGCGCAAGCCUGAACCAGCCAAGCCGCGUGAAGGAAGACUGCUCUAUGGGUUGUAAACUUCUUUUGUAGGGGAGUAAAUGCAGGUACGUGUCUCUUUUGGCAGUUACCUUAUGAAUACGGAUCGGCUAACUCCGCGCCAGCAGCCCCGGUAAUACGGAGGGUCGGAGCGUUAUCCGGAUUUAUUGGGUUUAAAGGGAGCGUAGCCGGGUUGUUAAGUUAGAUGUGAAAGCUGGGGGCUCAACCCCAAAAUUGCAUCUGAUACUGGGGGACUUGAGGGUAGUUGAGGUAGGCGGAAUGCGUGGUGUAGCGGUGAAAUGCGUAGAUAUCAGGAAGAACACCGAUUGCGAAGGCAGCUUAC
rnacentral:rRNA from 1 species